UACAGAGGGGGCAAGCGUUAUUCGGAAUUAUUGGGCGUAAAGAGAACGUAGGCGGUUUGUUAAGUUUGGGCUUAAAGACUGGGGCUCAACCCCAGGAGUGGCUCGAAAACUGACAGACUAGAGGAUGGCAGAGGAAAGUGGAAUUCCCAGUGUAGCGGUGAAAUGCGUAGAUAUCUGGAGGAACACCCGUGGCGAAGGCGGCUCUCUGGACCAGCACUGACACUGAGGCACGAAAGCGUGGGGAGCAAACAGG
rnacentral:rRNA from 1 species